rnacentral:rRNA from 1 species
AAACUUUACAAUGCGGGAAACCGUGAUAAGGGGACACCGAGUGCCAGCAUCAUAUGCUGGCUGUCCGGAUGUGUAAAAUACAUCCGUUAGCAAGGGCCGGGCAAGACCGGUGCCAGCCGCCGCGGUAACACCGGCGGCCCGAGUGGUGAUCGUGAUUAUUGGGUCUAAAGGGUCCGUAGCCGGUUUGGUCAGUCCUCCGGGAAAUCUGAUAGCUCAACUAUUAGGCUUUCGGGGGAUACUGCCAGACUUGGAACCGGGAGAGGUAAGAGGUACUACAGGGGUAGGAGUGAAAUCUUGUAAUCCCUGUGGGACCACCUGUGGCGAAAGCGUCUUACCAGAACGGGUUCGACGGUGAGGGACGAAAGCUGGGGGCACGAACCGGAUUAGAUACCCGGGUAGUCCCAGCCGUAAACGAUGCUCGCUAGGUGUCAGGCAUGGCGCGACCGUGUCUGGUGCCGCAGGGAAGCCGUGAAGCGAGCCACCUGGGAAGUACGGCCGCAAGGCUGAAACUUAAAGGAAUUGGCGGGGGAGCACAACAACGGGUGGAGCCUGCGGUUU